rnacentral:rRNA from 1 species
CCUACGGGAGGCAGCAGUGGGGGAUAUUGCACAAUGGGGGGAACCCUGAUGCAGCGACGCCGCGUGCGUGAAGAAGCGCCUCGGCGCGUAAAGCCCUGUCAGCAGGGGAGAAAAUGACGGUACGUGAAGAAGAAGCCACGGCUAACUACGUGCCAGCAGCCGCGGUAAUACGGAGGGGGCAAGCGUUAUCCGGAUUUACUGGGUGUAAAGGGGGCGCAUGCGGCGAUGCAAGCCAGGAGUGAAAGCCCGGGGCACAACCCCGGGACUGCUCUUGGAACUGCGUGGCUGGAGUGCAGUAGAGGCAGGCGGAAUGUAUGGUGUAGCGGUGAAAUGCAUAGAGAUCAGGCAGAACACCGAUUGCGAAGGCAGCCUGCUGGACUGCAACUGACGUUGAGGCCCGAAAGCGUGGGGAGCAAACAGGAUUAGAUACCCUUGUAGUC